rnacentral:rRNA from 1 species
CUUACCAUGCAAGUCGAGCGGUAAGGCCUUUCGGGGUACACGAGCGGCGAACGGGUGAGUAACACGUGGGUGACCUGCCUCGCACUCUGGGAUAAGCCUGGGAAACUGGGUCUAAUACCGGAUAUGACCACAUGUCGCAUGGUGUGUGGUGGAAAGCUUUUGUGGUGUGAGAUGGGCCCGCGGCCUAUCAGCUUGUUGGUGGGGUGAUGGCCUACCAAGGCGACGACGGGUAGCCGGCCUGAGAGGGCGAUCGGCCACACUGGGACUGAGACACGGCCCAGACUCCUACGGGAGGCAGCAGUGGGGAAUAUUGCACAAUGGGCGGAAGCCUGAUGCAGCGACGCCGCGUGAGGGAUGACGGCCUUCGGGUUGUAAACCUCUUUCAGUACCGACGAAGCGCGAGUGACGGUAGGUACAGAAGAAGCACCGGCCAACUACGUGCCAGCAGCCGCGGUAAUACGUAGGGUGCAAGCGUUGUCCGGAAUUACUGGGCGUAAAGAGCUCGUAGGCGGUUUGUCGCGUCGACUGUGAAAUCCCAUGGCUCAACUGUGGGCGUGCAGUCGAUACGGGCAGACUUGAGUACUGCAGGGGAGACUGGAAUUCCUGGUGUAGCGGUGAAAUGCGCAGAUAUCAGGAGGAACACCGGUGGCGAAGGCGGGUCUCUGGGCAGUGACUGACGCUGAGGAGCGAAAGCAUGGGUAGCGAACAGGAUUAGAUACCCUGGUAGUCCAUGCCGUAAACGGUGGGCGCUAGGUGUGGGUUUCCUUCCACGGGAUCCGUGCCGUAGCUAACGCAUUAAGCGCCC